UACGGGGGGGGCAAGCGUUGUUCGGAAUUACUGGGCGUAAAGGGCUCGUAGGCGGCCAACUAAGUCAGACGUGAAAUCCCUCAGCUUAACUGGGGAACUGCGUCUGAUACUGGAUGGCUUGAGUUCGGGAGAGGGAUGCGGAAUUCCAGGUGUAGCGGUGAAAUGCGUAGAUAUCUGGAGGAACACCGAUGGCGAAGGCGGCAUCCUGGACCGACACUGACGCUGAGGAGCGAAAGCCAGGGGAGCAAACGGG
rnacentral:rRNA from 1 species